rnacentral:misc_RNA from 1 species
AAAUCUUGGUUUUUCACUGAUUUUAUAUGCUUGGAAGAAUGAGUAGAGACUCAGAAAUUUUUCUUUUGAGUGCUAACAGAACAAUUAGGAGUCGUGAUUUUUAUUGAUUAUGUCAUUUAUUACACUUAGUUGGACAGUUUUCUUCUUCCUUUGUUGCCCAGUUGAGUUACUUGAGCAAUUGAUACAAUUUCACUUUCUCAGUUGGCUGUAUAUCCUUAUCAAAUUGUUCAUUUUGUUUCUAUUUUUCCUUUUUUACAAAAUCCACUAUCAACAAAAUACUAAAUUCACGGUUGAAACUCUCUUUAUUUGCGACUUGAGUUUGUUCAUGUGAAAUGCAGCAUCUAGGACAUCCUGGCUCAUUGGCUUUUGAGUUGAAAUCCCCCUUAUGAUCACUCUACAGCAUGCUAUGUCUUAGUUGCAAGUAUGCUCUCCUUUUCCUAGAGGUAUCUCAAUUAAUGCCAGCAUUAAUUCUUGUUAAUUUACCAUUUGAUGGGAAGAAAUGCUUUGUGUUUCAGGUGCCCCUGUUAUUGCAACUUGUGCAGGAAAAAACAUUCAAGAUCAGAGCACGCUUCCUGUUCAUACAUAAUGACGGUCUCAUACUGUAAUGUUGCACAUGAACUUAAACAUACGGGAAUGAUCCAGUUUGGACAUGUAAAUUUUGUCAUUGAUGGAUAUUGGCAUGAAAUUCUAACCUUUCUUUUUGCUUAUUAUUAUUAUUAUUACUUUCAUAUUGUUGAGUAGUAUCUAUGAAACUAUAACAGAAAUGAUAUACUCAAUUAGCCAUCUCUAUUAGCCUGAUUCUGGGUUAUGCCUCUCCAAUACUGGAAAGAUCUUUAACCAUGACACCAUAGUAUAAUUUAUGUUGAUUUGUCUGCCA